GUGAGGAAUAUUGGACAAUGGGCGCAAGCCUGAUCCAGCCAUGCCGCGUGCAGGAAGACGCAUCUAUGGUGUGUAAACUGCUUUUGUACGGGAAGAAACACUCCCUCGUGAGGGAGCUUGACGGUACCGUAAGAAUAAGGAUCGGCUAACUCCGUGCCAGCAGCCGCGGUAAUACGGAGGAUCCAAGCGUUAUCCGGAAUCAUUGGGUUUAAAGGGUACGUAGGCGGUUUAAUAAGUCAGUGGUGAAAGCCCAUCGCUCAACGAUGGAACGGCCAUUGAUACUGUUAGACUUGAAUUACAAGGAAGUAACUAGAAUAUGUAGUGUAGCGGUGAAAUGCUUAGAUAUUACAUGGAAUACCAAUUGCGAAGGCAGGUUACUACUUGUGGAUUGACGCUGAUGGACGAAAGCGUGGGGAGCGAACAGGAUUAGAUACCCCGGUAGUCC
rnacentral:rRNA from 1 species